ACAAUUUGGUGCGUAAACAUAGACUAAUACAUGUUUGCCAGUCGUGUACAGGUCAUAAUCAUAUUGUCACUUGGUACAAUAACUCACUUAAUGUAUAUGUAUUUUUUAACUACUUAUUAAUGUAUUUUCAUUUUAUUGUAAAUAGGGCAUCAAAAAAGCUGUAUGAAUCGGAUAGUGGCACUGAUGAGAAUGAGACAGACACAGAGAGAAGGCCAUAACAAGUUAUUGACCAAGCAACAACGCCCAAACAGGCACGAAGCCUACUUUUACCUCCGCCUUGCUUAUCUGCACAGGCAUUGCGAGAGGCCAGCAGUGAUGUGCAAAGUGCUUCUCCAAUACAAGGUGCUUCUGAUACGCCCUCCCGUGGGAAGAUUAUUGGGCCCACUGCUGUUACACAGAUUCUCCGAGUCUUGGAGACAAUGCGGGAGGAGAAUAGUGAAAUUAAGAGGAUGAUGUAGCAAUUGUUGUCAAGGUCAGCAGCAGAUGACCAACCGCUGCAGCUUCCUGAAGAUAUCUCAUUCCCUAUUCGUUCUCCUGAGCAGAUGGAAACAUUCGAUGAGCUUCUGGGAGAUCAGACAAAGCUGUCAUCUGUGCUGCGGUUCCUCUCAAUGUUUGGUGGGGCAGUUGUGCGGGAAACUGUUGACCGCUAGAUGAAAGAAACCAUGUCAAAUGAACUGGCAAGAAUGUACAAUAUGAAGGGGCUGAAAGGGAAGAAAACAUUUGGGGGCCUCUAGAUACUAAAUGUAUUGUAUAGAUAAGGAUGCUUGUUUUAUAGAAUGUGUCCAAAGGAAUUUGCCGACAAAGACUGCAACAAGGAAGGAUGUAGAAAUAAAGGUUUCAAAGUGACUGGCUGGGGCGUGGGACCGCGAUGGGGGAAGGAAAGCAAGAAACAAAGUGUCCAAGACUUUACCUGAAGCAAAUGAAGGAAGUGACUAGACAUGUUUUUAUUUUUAAAAAAUGCAAAUCUAUAGAGGAUAUUUGUUUGUUAGUGUGUAAGAUGAAAUUUAAUAUCAUCAAGUGAGCUUUAAAAACAUUAUUCUCACAAGUGAGAACACUGUUAUUUAAAAGUCCCUCAAUGAUAUAAAAUUACAUCUUACAUAACAAACAAUAAAGUGUCUUUUUAUUUUAUGCUAAUGAAAUUUCCUCAAUAUUAACUUUAAUAAUUAUUAAAUCUGUUUUCCCCACUGUUAACAUCAAUUUUAGUUGAAUUUAAGUCCAAUUAUUCAUAAAUACAGGAAGUCUUGGGCUGAACAAAAAGUUUGACAAUCAACGUUGAAUAGCAAUGAUUUUAUUUAUUUUAUUAAAAAAAUAUGAAUUAUCGCUUGUUUUAAUAAUAAAAACAACCAAUUCUAGAAGAAAAAGUCACACCAUCCCACCUUAUUUCUGUUACUCAGGCAAUUUAUGUAUGACCUGGCUUUGUGAAAUGUAAAUGGCGGCCAUUUUUAAAUGUUGUGUAUUUUAAGGAAAAUAAAUUUUGUUUUAUUCAGAGGAAUAUUAUUUGGAUAGGUUAGUCUCGAAGCAGUCCUGAGAAUGUCAGAAUUGUCAGCAAAAAUGAUAUUAAGGUACCACAUGGGGAAAAUCUUUAAAAAGUAGUCUCGUCAUUGAAAAGUUUGAAAUUUGGAUCAUUUUCACUGUGAAAUUAUCAAAUAUAAUUUUCACGGAUACACCAGUAAUGCACACAAAAGCAUAAAAUGAAUGACUUUUAUUUUACAUUUUCGAACCUUUUCUUCAUCGGCAUAUAAGUUAUUCCAAUGAUUAAAAGUCAAUAGAUAUCAAAGUAUUUUAAAAUGUGAUAAGGGUCAGAACUACAGUAAGUGGCUCAUUUGUGUAUCUUAUUAUACUUUUUGUUGCUAAUUUUAAUGUUUGAGGUCAUCAGCAUAGCAUGUCUUUCUUGUAAAUGCAAAAUUCUUUGCCGUCUAGUCAGUUUAUUUUGCUGCUAUGUUAUGUUUGUUGUUGACAUUAUAUGCUGUUUUUCUGUUGUCUAUAUGCUGUUGCUAUGUUUUUCAUUAAACAUUGUUACUAUUUAAAUCAAGACAUUAAAUGCUUGGGGAAUGUGUUUGAUACUGAUCAAUACAAUUAUAAUAUCUUGUCCAAACUUAACACUAACAGGGAACACAUAUAUAGAUAUGGUAUUAACCUUUAAAAUCAAGUUGAAAUACUUUACAAUGAUGCUUCUUGUAAUCUUUAUUUUUGUUAUUGUUGAAACUUUGAUAAUAUCAGAUAAAUUACUGAAACAACUACUGUAACCCAAUUUAUAUUCGCGAAUACAAAUGUUCGUGUUUUGCCGAGGUCGGACAUAUUCGCUAAUAUUAAUUUCCGCGUUUUCUGGAUUUCCGAAAAAAAAAAUUUGCGGAUUGGAAAGUCCGAUGGGACCGUAAAAUCCACUAGCCGACUAUUAAUCUUCAAUAAUUGAGGUCAUUAUUAGUGUCUAAAAUGGGAUUAACAAUACGCUAGCCUUAUAUAUUGUAUUGGUAAGUGAAUUGUGAUCACAGUUCAGCAAAACAUUUUCUCUAUAUUCUUUAUUUAUACGGUACAUGUACACAUCGUUCGUCUUCAUUUCUAAACAUGUCGUUAAAAGGGUGGGUAUCACACUAUUAUACUUUGUUUUUCUCAACUAAUAGUUUUUUUUUGUCUGUUCCCUUCAGACAUGUGAAAAACACAAACUAGACGAUAAUUGCUCAGAAGCACGUUUCAUAAU